UUUAGAACACUUCAACACUGGAGUCCGACAUUUCAACUGGUCACAGUAAUCAAAGCAGAUGACACAAGUACUUGAAAAACCUCUACUGGAGAUAACUAAGAUUCAAGGACAAAAGGAUCAAGCCAAUUCAGGGUAUAGCUGGCCCAGUUACCUUUGGAGAUAAGGCAUUCAUUACUGAACAAAAUUUACAUUUUUAUGAAGAACUGCUUCACAGAUGUGAUCCCUGAGAAACUGAAGGACAUCUGACAGUCAGAUAAAUCACUGUGAUAUUUCUAGAUGAAGAAUGCCUAAAGAGGUCGUCUUUACUACUAAGCAAGACAAUGGAAAAGCUGCUGACAUUUCAAAGACUGGAAGAUAAAUUAUUUUACAUAGAAGGAUUUUGUCACUGAACAGUAAUAUGUAAAGAAUUACUUUCCAUUUGACUUAAAAACAUUGGGAUGGGUUCAGGAGAACACUUUAGUUAUAAGGGCACUGAACCUAAAAAUAAGUUUAUAACCAAUCAGCAACGAUUACCCCAGUGGUAACUUGUCUCCCACAUUUCCCUAGAACUAACAUUUCUUUUAAAUAUGAAAGCCUAUUUAAAUACCAGAAAAUCAUCAUUAUCUAACAACUCAUCUGUAAGUUGCAUCCGAGAGUUUAGCUCGAAGGACUGAAAGUGCUCCAAGGUUCAGCAGUGUGCAAUCUGUUCUGUACCACAGUGUUCACGUGGUCUAACAAGAAGAGCACACAGCACAUUAGAAAAGUUCCAAAGGUCUCUCCUAAAACAACAUGACACUGACCUAUGAGAGUUUUUCCCCGGUCAAGUAUCCAGUGACAUUCAAGAUGACAAGAUCAAUGGCAAAAGCAUGUUCAAACUCUUCCAUUAUACCCAACAGCACAUAAAUCAUCUCAGGAGCUACUGCAGUGCGAACAACGAAACAUCAAAGAAAGGUUUCACUUGCAGCUGAUUCGUGUAAGUCUUCCUGAGUUUUACUGAAGAAUUCUUUAUUACACAAAAUUGAAUAAAAAAGAACUCAUCAAAUGACUUCAA